GACAGAGGGGGCAAGCGUUGUCCGGAGUUACUGGGCGUAAAGGGCGCGUAGGCGGCGUGUCAAGUCAGGCGUGAAAGCCCCGGGCUCAACCUGGGAACCGCGCUUGAGACUGGCAUGCUCGAGUUCGGGAGAGGAUGGUGGAAUUCCCAGUGUAGAGGUGAAAUUCGUAGAUAUUGGGAAGAACACCGAUGGCGAAGGCAGCCAUCUGGACCGACACUGACGCUGAGGCGCGAAAGCGUGGGGAGCAAACAGG
rnacentral:rRNA from 1 species